CCGAGUUUACAACUCCCAAACCCUGUGAACAUACCACUUGUUGCCUCGGCGGAUCAGCCCGCUCCCGGUAAAACGGGACGGCCCGCCAGAGGACCCCUAAACUCUGUUUCUAUAUGUAACUUCUGAGUAAAACCAUAAAUAAAUCA
rnacentral:misc_RNA from 1 species